UACAGAGGGGGCUAGCGUUGUUCGGAAUUACUGGGCGUAAAGCGCACGUAGGCGGCUUUGUAAGUUAGAGGUGAAAGCCCGGGGCUCAACUCCGGAAUUGCCUUUAAGACUGCAUCGCUAGAAUUGUGGAGAGGUAAGUGGAAUUCCGAGUGUAGCAGUGAAAUGUGCAGAUAUUCGGAAGAACACCAGUGGCGAAGGCAGCAGAUUGGGCCGGUAUUGACGCUCAGGCACGAAAGCAUGGGGAUCAAACAGG
rnacentral:rRNA from 1 species